CAGUGUUUUGCAGUUUUCAAGUUCUACUUUUAUUCAGUUUAUAAUGUGUCUUUCAACGUUGGACUGACAGAAAGAGGACUUCAGUGACACUUCAUCACCUUGUAUAGAAUGAAUUGACUUGGAGUCAUUGUGGCAAGGAAUAAAAACCAAAAAGGACAUGCUUAAAAUAAUUGCAAGAAGGAGGUGUCUAGGAAGGUGUCAAAAAACUGAGAAGGAAGGAUAGACAGAACGAUGUUUCCUUAGCUGACCUCCACCAGGAGCCAUGUCCUGCUUUGUAAGUCCAGUCCUCUCUUUGUUGGCUGCCUCAUUGUCCUUUUUCCAAGUUACAAAUAAAUAAAUAAACACAAUGCCUAUCCCUUUCCA